rnacentral:tRNA from 1 species
GUUAGAAUUUAUUGGAUUGUAAAUCCUAUUUAGAUUUGUUCUUCUAUCA